rnacentral:lncRNA from 1 species
AGCAGCGGCUGCAGACCCUGAUCGAUGGGGCGGGGGAGAACUGGACGUACGGCAUAUUCUGGCAGUCGUCCGUGGACGCCGCCUCCGGGGCGUCUUUCCUUGGGUGGGGCGACGGCUAUUACAAGGGUUGCGAGGAGGACAAGCGGAAGCAGCGGGCCGCCAGCGCCGCCUCCGCUGCCGAGCAGGAGCACCGCAAGCGCGUUCUGCGGGAGCUCAACUCGCUCAUCUCCGGCGGCGGGUCCUCGGCUCAGGACGAGACCGUCGAGGAGGAGGUCACUGACACCGAGUGGUUCUUCCUCGUCUCCAUGACCCAGUCC